UACGUAGGGCGCAAGCGUUGUCCGGAAUUAUUGGGCGUAAAGAGCUCGUAGGUGGUUUGUCGCGUCUGUCGUGAAAGCCCAUGGCUUAACUGUGGGUCUGCGGUGGAUACGGGCAGGCUGGAGGCAGGUAGGGGAGAACGGAAUUCCCGGUGUAGCGGUGAAAUGCGCAGAUAUCAGGAGGAACACCGGUGACGAAGGCGGGUCUCUGGGCCGAAAUUGACGCUGAGGAGCGAAAGCGUGGGGAGCGAACAGG
rnacentral:rRNA from 1 species